rnacentral:rRNA from 1 species
UACGGAGGGUGCAAGCGUUAUCCGGAUUCACUGGGUUUAAAGGGUGCGUAGGUGGGAAUGUAAGUCAGUGGUGGAAUCUCCGUGCUUAACAUGGAAACUGCCAUUGAUACUAUAGGUCUUGAAUUUUCUGGAGGUUAGCGGAAUAUGUCAUGUAGCGGUGAAAUGCUUAGAUAUGACAUAGAACACCAAUUGCGAAGGCAGCUAACUACAGGGAUAUUGACACUGAGGCACGAAAGCGUGGGGAUCAAACAGG